AACGUAGGAGGCGAGCGUUGUCCGGAUUCAUUGGGCGUAAAGAGCGCGCAGGCGGCUUGGUAAGUCGGAUGUGAAAUCCCGAGGCUCAACCUCGGGUCUGCAUCCGAUACUGCCCGGCUAGAGGUAGGUAGGGGAGAUCGGAAUUCCUGGUGUAGCGGUGAAAUGCGCAGAUAUCAGGAGGAACACCGGUGGCGAAGGCGGAUCUCUGGGCCUUACCUGACGCUCAGGCGCGAAAGCUAGGGGAGCGAACUGG
rnacentral:rRNA from 1 species